AUGUGCAGGAACCUGAACUCAAUCUCUUCAAAAUUCUGGUGGGCGGCGACGAAUGAUGAACGUAACGUACAUUGGAUAUCUUGGCAGAAAAUGUGUGCAGUGAAACAGGAUGGAGGAUUGAGUUUCAGAGAUACCGAGGCCUUCAACCAAGCGCUACUUGCAAAGCAAGCGUGGAGAAUAUUGAAGGUUCCAACCCUGUGUGCAAGGGUGCUCAAAGCAUGAUACUUCAGAGAGGAAUCGAUCCUAACUGCAACAGCCCCUCCUUCCGCCUCGUACACCCUUCGGGGGGGGGGGGGCAUCGAGCGUGAAUAUACAUCAUGCUAA
rnacentral:rRNA from 1 species